CGACGGGUCAGAGGUCAGCAAAACAAUGGCGUCUGGUGGUGAUGCCGCUCCGCUUCAAGUGCCUAGCGUUUGUAUUUGAAUGCCUCAUUUCAACCUUGCUGAUGGAUUAGUGAUGCAGAACAGCGGCAAGUCAGAGUUCUCCAUCGCCGUCUCUGAACCCCGUGCAGCCCUCAGAGCAGCCAGGCAUCGACCAUCCUUCCUGAGUCAGAGGCGAUGGCUUGACUUGGAUGGCAUGACCUGGCGGAUGCUCUGAAAGCCCUGACUAAAGUGCCAGCCUGUGUUAACAGCUUACAAAGAGUGAUCCCUGAGGGGAGAGACGGAGAGUGGGGGAUAAAUGAAGAACUGGGCUGCAGACGGAGUGGACAGCCACUGAACAUGAGCUGAUUUCUGAUACAGCAGAAUGGGUCUGACGGGAACUCAAAUGCCUGGCAAGGAGAAAAGAACGUUGAAUAAAAGCCAAGCGGAAUCAGCAUGUAUAGCAACGAAAGGGUCCUCAUCUCUGUUGCUGAUUUUGAAGUGGGCGCGUCCAUCACCAC